CAGGCCCACACCAGGAAUUACUCUCGUAAUGGACUGCAAAUAUAACAUACGAUCGCCUUCAUCAAUAUGAAUUGACAUUCGAUUUGACCGAGAUUGAAUGAUCGAACUUACGCAUAAUGAGCAUUGACUCUGCUUUGAAGUCUAGUCUUCACCAAAUCCAGCGGCUGGAAGAGGAUUGUGGAGAAAGUCCCGGAGAAAGAUCCCGCAAGGAACGACUUCAAGAUCGGAUACUGCAAAUAUU